rnacentral:sRNA from 1 species
UGAUCGCGCGAUCAUCCCGACGACUGCGGUAAUGAUACACUGUGCGACUCUGCAUCAUUAGACUGCACCCCCUGCGUACACCGAUUCGGUAUGCCGCCAGCAGAUAUUCCACCGCCUCACGCUUCUGGAGCGGCCUC